GGCGCCGGCGGGAAUCGAAUCUUGAGGAAAAUGCUGACUGAAUCUGCAGCAGGUUGGAUCUGUGUUCUUAACUUUUCGACGACAAUCAUCACUGGUCUCAAAGUUAGGUUCCAGCAUGAUUUGGCAGUAAGACCUCACUACAUCGCCAAACACCAGUGAACCACCAAGGGUGUUAGUGACCAAGGGAUCAUGGGUCUUUAGUGUUUUACUAAAGAAAGUAAGUUUCUAACUUUUAUUUAAGGAACUGGGCUUUUUUAGGCUUUGAGUUUGUAUUAUUGGUGUCUGGUUUCUGGGUGUUUAAAUUUAAUGUACAAUGAUCAUGUAAAGUUUUGCUCAUAAGU